rnacentral:snRNA from 1 species
AAAAAGGGCUUCUGUCGUGAGCGGCACAUGCAGGGCAACUCGAUUGUUCUGCGUGCCGAAUCGACAUCAAGAGAUUUCGGAAGCAUAAUUUUUUGGUAUUUGGGCAGCACAAAACUCAAGCUCCU